rnacentral:rRNA from 1 species
CCUACGGGCGGUAGCAGUAGGGAAUAUUGCUCAAUGGGGGAAACCCUGAAGCAGCAACGCCGCGUGGAGGAUGAAGGUUUUCGGAUUGUAAACUCCUUUUGUUAGAGAAGAUAAUGACGGUAUCUAACGAAUAAGCACCGGCUAACUCCGUGCCAGCAGCCGCGGUAAUACGGAGGGUGCAAGCGUUACUCGGAAUCACUGGGCGUAAAGAGCGCGUAGGCGGGAUAGCAAGUCAGAUGUGAAAUCCUAGGGCUUAACCAUAGAACUGCAUUUGAAACUGUUAUUCUAGAGUAUGGGAGAGGUAGGUGGAAUUCGUGGUGUAGGGGUAAAAUCCGUAGAGAUCAAGAGGAAUACUCAUUGCGAAGGCGACCUGCUAGAACAUAACUGACGCUGAUGCGCGAAAGCGUGGGGAGCAAACAGGAUUAGAUACCCCUGUAGUC